rnacentral:rRNA from 1 species
GUGGGGAAUAUUGGACAAUGGGCGAAAGCCUGAUCCAGCCAUGCCGCGUGUGUGAAGAAGGUCUUCGGAUUGUAAAGCACUUUAAGUUGGGAGGAAGGGCAUUAACCUAAUACGUUAGUGUUUUGACGUUACCGACAGAAUAAGCACCGGCUAACUUCGUGCCAGCAGCCGCGGUAAUACGAAGGGUGCAAGCGUUAAUCGGAAUUACUGGGCGUAAAGCGCGCGUAGGUGGUUCGUUAAGUUGGAUGUGAAAGCCCCGGGCUCAACCUGGGAACUGCAUCCAAAACUGGCGAGCUAGAGUACGGUAGAGGGUGGUGGAAUUUCCUGUGUAGCGGUGAAAUGCGUAGAUAUAGGAAGGAACACCAGUGGCGAAGGCGACCACCUGGACUGAUACUGACACUGAGGUGCGAAAGCGUGGGGAGCAAACAGGAUUAGAUACCCGUGUAGUCC